CAACCCUUAAGCCUAGCUUAGUGUUGGGAAUCGACUGUAUUGUCGUUCCUUAAAGACAGUGGCGGAGCGAUAGUUGUCCUCUGAGCGUAGUAAAUUUAUUUCUCGCUUCUGCAAGGCUCUGUCCUCCCGCCAUAAAACCCCCAAUUUUUUAGU
rnacentral:misc_RNA from 1 species